rfam:Otolemur garnettii contig100190, whole genome shotgun sequence.
GUCAGAGGAAUUUAUCUCAUACCUGAGAUCUAAGAGAUCUUGGGAGGCUGAGACAGGAGGAUGGCUUGAGUCCAGGAGUGCUGGGCUAUAGUGCACUAUGCUGAUUGGGUAUUUGCACUAAGUUUGGCAUUAAUAUGGUGACCUCCGGGGCGUGGGGGGCCACCAGAUUGCCUAAGGAGGGGUGAACCAGCCCAGGUUAGACAUGGAGCAGGUCAAAACUCCCAUGCUGAUCAGUAGUAGGAUCGUGCCUGUGAAUAGCCACUGCACUCCAGCCACUGCACUCCAGGAACAUAGCAAGACCCCAUCUCUU